UAUGAAAGUAAUGGAAGGACCCCUCAACCUGGCUCAUUAACAGAGCAGACGAGCAGACCAUUUAUUAGCUGCAGGCAAAUACGAAGAGGCUAUUUCUUGUCACAAAAAGGCUGCAGUGUAUCUUUCUGAAGCCAUGAAGCUGACACAGUCUAAGCAGGCUCAUCUUUCACUGGAAUUGCAAAUGGAUAGCCAUAUGAAAUAGCUCCUCCUCAUCCAAGAGAGAUGGAAAAGGGCCCAGCGUGAAGAAAGAUUGAAAGCCCAGCAGAACACAGACAAGGAUGUAGCUGCCCAUUUUCAGGCAUCUCACAAACCCUCUGCAGAGGAUGCAGAGGGCCAGAGUCCCCUUUCUCAGAAGUACAGCCCUUCCACAGAGAAAUGCCUGCCUGAGAUUCAGGGGAUCUUUGACAGGGAUCCAGACACACUACUUUAUUUACUUCAGCAAAAGAGUGAGCCAGAAGAGCCAUGUAUUGGAAGCAAAGCCCCCAAAGAUGAUAAAACAAUUAUAGAGGAGCAGGCAACCAAAAUUGCAGAUUUGAAGAGGCAUGUGGAAUUCCUUGUGGCUGAGAAUAAAAGAUUAAGGAAAGAAAAUAAACAACUGAAGGCUGAAAAGGCCAGACUUCUAAAAGGUCCAAUAGAAAAGGAGCUGGAUGUAGAUGCUGAUUUUGUAGAAACGUCAGAGUUAUGGAGCUUGCCACCACAUUCAGAAACUGCUACAGCCUCCUCAACCUGGAAGAAGUUUGCAGCAAACACCGGGAAAGCCAAGGACAUUCCAAUCCCCAAUCUUCCUCCCUUGGAUUUUCCAUCUCCAGAACUUCCUCUUAUGGAGCUCUCUGAGGAUAUUCUGAAAGGAUUUAUGAAUAAUUAA
rnacentral:lncRNA from 1 species